rnacentral:lncRNA from 1 species
CUGCGAUUCUAUUUAUCUAUGUUAUUACAAGUCACAUAUGUUUCUGUGUAAAAUAUGUCAAAACCAUUGCUCAAAGACAUAAUCAUAUUUCGGAAGACUACAGUGAUCAAAUUGAUGACGAACUUAGUUCUACCUCAUUCCGUGCUAACAACAACGUUAGUUCGUCAAACACCAAUAACGAACAUGACCGGAAUUCGACACAAACCCG